UGGCGGACGGGUGAGUAACGCGUGGGUAACCUGCCUUGUACUGGGGGACAACAGUUAGAAAUGACUGCUAAUACCGCAUAAGCGCACAGUAUCGCACGAUACAGUGUGAAAAACUCCGGUGGUACAAGAUGGACCCGCGUCUGAUUAGCUAGUUGGUAAGGUAACGGCUUACCAAGGCGACGAUCAGUAGCCGACCUGAGAGGGUGACCGGCCACAUUGGGACUGAGACACGGCCCAA
rnacentral:rRNA from 1 species